rfam:Rattus norvegicus chromosome 1, whole genome shotgun sequence.
GCUGUGGUGCAAUCUGGAUAGAGCAUGUGUUACCCCAUUGAUUGCCAAAGUUGAUUCAGCCGGUGUCUGGCUUGGCAAGUGUCUCUGUGCUUCCCCCACACCUUCAUGAGACUCCUCGAAGCUAAACUCUCAAUAAAGCAACCUCCCUGGAUAGAGGAGGACCAUUUUCCAGUCAAGGUUAUGUGAAUAACUGCUCUCCCCAACUAGAACCACCAGACUGAAUAGCUGCUCUUCCCAACUAGGACCCCAGACAAGCUAUGGAUAGUCCCGUUUUCACCCUACGUGAAGGCCCUUAUGUGGGCAUGUGUAGAAAAGUCGU